GAUGAACGCUAGCGACAGGCCUAACACAUGCAAGUCGAGGGGCAGCACGGUGUAGCAAUACACGGGUGGCGACCGGCGCACGGGUGAGUAACGCGUAUGCAACCUGCCUACUACAAGGGGAUAACCCGUUGAAAGACGGACUAAUACCCUAUAACACAGGGAAUCCGCAUGGAUAUAUUUGUUAAAGAUUUAUCGGUAGUAGAUGGGCAUGCGUUCCAUUAGCUUGUUGGUGAGGUAACGGCUCACCAAGGCAACGAUGGAUAGGGGAACUGAGAGGUUGAUCCCCCACACUGGAACUGAGACACGGUCCAGACUCCUACGGGAGGCAGCAGUGAGGAAUAUUGGUCAAUGGACGAGAGUCUGAACCAGCCAAGUCGCGUGAAGGAAGACGGCCCUACGGGUUGUAAACUUCUUUUGUAAGGGAAUAAUAGUCUUACGCGCUAAGACGUUGCAGGUACCUUACGAAUAAGGAUCGGCUAACUCCGUGCCAGCAGCCGCGGUAAUCAUA
rnacentral:rRNA from 1 species